UACGAGAGGUGCAAACGUUAUUCGGAUUUAUUGGGUGUAAAGGGUGCGUAGACCGUUUGUUAAGUUCGUUGUUAAAUCUUCUGGCCUAACUGGAAGCUUGCGAUGAAAACUGGCAGACUUGAGGGUGAAAGAGAGAAGCGGAAUUCUCGGAGUAGCGGUAAAAUGCGUAGAUCUCGAGAGGAACACCGAUGGCGAAAGCAGCUUCUUGGUUCAUUUCUGACGUUGAGGCACGAAAGCGUGGGGAGCAAACGGG
rnacentral:rRNA from 1 species